AUGGGUCAAAUGAUGAUUGUAAAUGCAUAGUUCAGAUGAAAAAAUCUUUAUGAUUAAUUUAAUCUCAAAUAGUCUUUCGCUCCUAUCUGAUGACCCAU